rnacentral:rRNA from 1 species
GACGAACGCUGGCGGUGUGCUUAACACAUGCAAGUCGAACGAAGUGGCGAACGGGUGAGUAACGCGUAAUCAACCUGCCCUUCAGAGGGGGACAACAGUUGGAAACGACUGCUAAUACCGCAUAAUGAAGGAGGGGAUUGCGCCUGAUUAGCUAGUGGGAGGGGUAACGGCCCACCAAGGCGAUGAUCAGUAGCCGGUCUGAGAGGAUGAACGGCGACAUUGGGCCUGAGACGCGGCCCAGACUCCUACGGGAGGCAGCAGGGGGGAAUCGUCCGCAAUGGACGCAAGUCUGACGGAGCAACGCCGCGUGAGUGAUGACGUCCUUCGGGUUGUAAAGCUCUGUUAAUCGGGACGCGGUACCGGAAUAGAAAGCCAGGGCUAACUACGUGCCAGCAGCCGCGGUAAUAC